CUCACUGGUCUAGGGGUUGAGUGUUCGCACACGAAGCCGAAGGUUUCGGGUUCGAAUCCCGUGUGUGGGAU
rnacentral:tRNA from 1 species